GCCAAAUGAUGCAUCUCUAGAUAUGGUGAGCACUCUGUGCGAAGAUGACCAUAUAUCUAUCACCCAUGACUGAUGGCA
rnacentral:snoRNA from 1 species